CCCUUAGAUGUUCUGGGCCGCACGCGCGCUACACUACGAUGGCAACGAGUUUUUCCUUCGCCGAAAGGUGUGGGUAAUCUUUUGAAACAUCGUCGUGCUGGGGAUAGAUCAUUGCAAUUUUUGAUCUUGAACGAGGAAUUCCUAGUAAGCGCGAGUCAUCAGCUCGCGUUGAUUACGUCCCUGCCCUUUGUACACACCGCCCGUCGCUACUACCGAUUGAAUGGUUUAGUGAGGACUCCUGAUUGGCGCCGCCGCCCCGGCAACGGAGCAGCGGACUGCCGAAAAGUUGUUCAAACUUGAUCAUUUAGAGGAAGUAAAAGUCGUAACA
rnacentral:rRNA from 1 species